rfam:Ovis aries breed Texel chromosome 9, whole genome shotgun sequence.
UCCCUGGUGGCUCAGAGGGUAAAGUGUUUGCUUGCAAUGCAGGAGACCCAGGUUCGAUCCCUGGGUCGGGAA